rnacentral:piRNA from 1 species
UACCUUAGUUGCCUGCAAUUCUUCAUCUA